rnacentral:rRNA from 1 species
AAUCAACGCUGGCGGCGUGCCUCAGACAUGCAAGUCGAACGAUUAAAGCUCUCUUCGGAGAGUGUAUAGAGUGGCGCACGGGUGAGUAACACGUAAGUAAUCUACCUUUGAGUGGGGAAUAACAAUCGGAAACGAUUGCUAAUACCGCAUAAUGCAGCGGCAUCGCAAGAUGACAGUUGUUAAAGGAGCAAUCCGCUUAAAGAGGAGCUUGCGGCAGAUUAGCUAGUUGGUGAGGUAAUGGCUUACCAAGGCUACGAUCUGUAACCGGUCUAAGAGGACGGUCGGUCACACUGACACUGAAUAACGGGUCAGACUCCUACGGGAGGCAGCAGUCGGGAAUUUUGGGCAAUGGGCGAAAGCCUGACCCAGCAA